rnacentral:lncRNA from 1 species
AUUGCAUCUCAAGAAACACGAGCUAUGUACAGUUUGAUUAGAAAUUCACAUCGCCUUGAUCUCCCAGUAGAUCUUCAAAUUGACUUAUUUAAUAAAACAAUCAAGCCUAUUUUGUUAUAUGGUGCUGAAAUUUGGGGAACAGGAAAUAAUGAAGUAAUCGAACGAGUACAGUUGAAAUUUCUAAAGUACGUUCUAAAACUUAAAAGGUCAACACCGGGUUACAUGGUAUAUGGCGAGACAGGUUGCAUGCCUAUAAAUAUCGAUAUAGAAGAAAAAAUUAUAUCUUUCUGGUCAAGAAUUGUCAACAAUGAAAAUGAUAAUUUUCCAACCAAACUCUCCUCCAUUAUCUAUAAAAAUAUGUAUGCUAUUAGCAGAAAUUGUAACCACGAAUCUUUUAAAAAAAAUGUCCGUGGCUGUAUGCUGUUCAAUCUAUUUUAAUUAAGUGCGGUUUUAAUAAUAUAUGGGAUCAACAAACAUUCACAAAUAGCAAAUGGCUUAAAAUGGCAGUUAAAUAUAAACUAAAGGAUUUAUUUAUAAACGCAUGGUACUCGUUAGUUGAAAAUUCUAGCAAUAGCACAUUCUAUAGAUUAUUCAAAACUUCAUUUGGUCAAGAAAAAUAUCUAUCAAAUACCCCAAAGUCUCUAUUGCAUUCUGUCAUAAAAUUUCGCACGAGAAACCAUAGGUUACCUGUAGAAACAAGAAAUUGGACAAGAUUACCAUUAAACCAAAGAACAUGUAACAACUGUGAAAAUAAGUUAGGAGACGAGUUUCAUUAUCUUUUCGAGUGUAACCUGUUUUCAAAUGAACGAAAAAAAUUUAUCAAACCAUAUUUCUUCAGAAAUCCGAAUGUAUUUAAAUUGGAACAACUUAUAAAUACUGGAAAUAAAAAAGAGUUUUUAAAAUUGUGCAAAUUUGUUAGAAUUAUAUUGUCACAGCUAAGAUAAAUGAAUUUUGUAUUUUCAUCUCCGUACAUUUUAUGACUCUCCGAUGCCCGAAUGGGGGCAUCAUUUAUUUAUUUAUAUAUUUAUUUAUUAUAUUGUAAUACUGACAUAUGAAAUCUAGAUAUGAAAGGCGUUAUUGUGAAAACAUCAUAUUUUGUUAGAAUUGAAUUGUACUAUUAUUUUCUUAUGAGCCUCCAAUAUAUUGUUAAAAUAUCUUACCUCAUUUAUUCAUGUAUUCAUGAAAUGAGUGGAAUAAAAGGUUUUGACUUGA